UUGACCUCGGAUCAGGUAGGGAUACCCGCUGAACUUAAGCAUAUCAAUAAGCGGAGGAAAAGAAACCAACAGGGAUUGCCUCAGUAACGGCGAGUGAAGCGGCAACAGCUCAAAUUUGAAAUCUGACCCCCUGCGGGGCCCGAGUUGUAAUUUGCAGAGGGUGCUUCGGGCGCGGCGCCGGUCUAAGUGCCUUGGAACAGGACGUCAUAAGAGGGUGAGAAUCCCGUCUGUGACCGGCGGCCAAGCCCAUGUGAAGCCCUUUCGACGAGUCGAG
rnacentral:rRNA from 1 species